UACGAAGGGGGCUAGCGUUGCUCGGAAUCACUGGGCGUAAAGCGCACGUAGGCGGAUUUUUAAGUCAGGGGUGAAAUCCCAAGGCUCAACCUUGGAACUGCCUUUGAUACUGGGGAUCUCGAGUCCGGAAGAGGUGAGUGGAACUGCGAGUGUAGAGGUGAAAUUCGUAGAUAUUCGCAAGAACACCAGUGGCGAAGGCGGCUCACUGGUCCGGUACUGACGCUGAGGUGCGAAAGCGUGGGGAGCAAACAGG
rnacentral:rRNA from 1 species